CACACUAUCGUUAACUGAAUACAUAGGUUAACGAGGCGAACCGGGGGAACUGAAACAUCUAAGUACCCCGAGGAAAAGAAAUCAACCGAGAUUCCCCCAGUAGCGGCGAGCGAACGGGGAGCAGCCCAGAGUCUGAAUCAGCUUGUGUGUUAGUGGAAGCGUCUGGAAAGUCGCACGGUACAGGGUGACAGUCCCGUACACGAAAGCACACAGGCUGUGAACUCGAAGAGUAGGGCGGGACACGUGGUAUCCUGUCUGAAUAUGGGGGGACCAUCCUCCAAGGCUAAAUACUCCUGACUGACCGAUAGUGAACCAGUACCGUGAGGGAAAGGCGAAAAGAACCCCGGCGAGGGGAGUGAAAAAGAACCUGAAACCGUGUACGUACAAGCAGUGGGAGCCUCUUUUAUGGGGUGACUGCGUACCUUUUGUAUAAUGGGUCAGCGACUUAUAUUCUGUAGCAAGGUUAACCGUAUAGGGGAGCCGAAGGGAAACCGAGUCUUAACUGGGCGUUAAGUUGCAGGGUAUAGACCCGAAACCCGGUGAUCUAGCCAUGGGCAGGUUGAAGGUUGGGUAACACUAACUGGAGGACCGAACCGACUAAUGUUGAAAAAUUAGCGGAUGACUUGUGGCUGGGGGUGAAAGGCCAAUCAAACCGGGAGAUAGCUGGUUCUCCCCGAAAGCUAUUUAGGUAGCGCCUCGUGAA
rnacentral:rRNA from 1 species